UCUACGGGAGGCAGCAGUGAGGAAUAUUGGUCAAUGGGCGCGAGCCUGAACCAGCCAAGUAGCGUGAAGGAUUAAUGCCCUACGGGUUGUAAACUUCUUUUAUAAAGGAGUAAAGUGAGGCACGUGUGCCUUUUUGUAUGUACUUUAUGAAUAAGGAUCGGCUAACUCCGUGCCAGCAGCCGCGGUAAUACGGAGGGUCCGAGCGUUAUCCGGAUUUAUUGGGUUUAAAGGGAGCGUAGAUGGGUUGUUAAGUCAGUUGUGAAAGUUUGCGGCUUAACCGUAAAAUGGCAAUUGAUACUGGCAGCCUUGAGUAGAGUUGAGGUAGGCGGAAUGCGUGGUGUAGCGGUGAAAUGCUUAGAUAUCACGAAGAACCCCGAUUGCGAAGGCAGCCUACUAACCUGCCACUGACAUUGAUGCUCGAAAGUGUGGGUAUCAAACAGGAUUAGAUACCCUAGUAGUC
rnacentral:rRNA from 1 species